rnacentral:lncRNA from 1 species
GAGUGCCUGGGACGUGCCACUCAAUAAUAGGCCAUGGUACCCAGUUGUUUGGACAAUGGAAAAACACCAGUCUAGAUAUUACUGUGAAGGCAUUUUUAAUAUGAGAGUAAUAUUUAAAGUAGUAGGCUUGGAGUAAAGCAGACUACUCUCUGUCAUGUGGAUGGGCCCAUCUCAUCAGUUGAAGGCCUCAACAGGCAAAAGACUGAGGUUCCCUAAGGAAAAUGGAAUUCUGCCUCCAGUGUGCCUUUGAACUCACGUCUUCCCUGGGUCUCGGCCUGCCAGCCCACCCUGCAGAUUUUAGACUUGCCAGUCUCCACCAUCACAUGAGCCAAUUCUUUAAAGUAAAUCUCUCUUUCUCUCUCCCUGUCUCCCUACACACACACACACACACACCCUCUUGGUUCUAUUCUGUUUCUCAGGAGAACCCCAACUGGUCUCCUACCUCCAGGCCUCUUCCCUAUUCUUCCUAUCUACUCCAUUAUCCACACAACCCAGAGUGAUUGUGUAUCUAAAUGCAAUCUGAUAGCACUGUUGCCUCACACCGUACCUACCUGUCAUCCUCCACCAGCUCCACAGGUCACACUACCCUUCCCCAUGUAAACUAAGUCUAAGUCUCAUUCCUUUUCCUGGGGCCCCUCAACAGGCCCUACAUGAGUCAAGUUCAAUGCUCAUCACCCAGGAUUGUAGAACUAUAAUUGUUUACUUGAAUGCCCCUCUUCUUGCCACAUAUCCCUAUGGUACAAAUGAUCCCUGCUGACAGGUUUACAAGAAAAACUGGGCGGGAUUACUUAAAUACAUGCUUAGAGUUUUCUUUAACAAAUGAGUGCAGCCCAAAUGCCUCCAGUGUUGAGAAUAUUAGACUGCUAUCUUGAAGAAAAAAUUAAGCUGACUGUAGUAAUAUUGGGGAAAUCCUGCAGUAUUAAAAUUUUAAGAGAUCCUGCUAGGACUCAUUUUUGUCAAGACCCACCAUAAAGUAUGCUCAAGCUUGUAUAUUUUUGCAUUUGUCAGUACUGCUAGAUAGUAAAUUAACCUGAUGCUCAAAGCAGCUCAUCAAGACACUUGAGACUUGAUGCUGUCUUGGCAUGUAUAGACCAGGUCCAUGUAUAGUCAUAUGUCAGGCAGAGACAGGCUUGCCCUCCACCAAAAAGGUGGAGACUCCAGGCACAGCCUUUCCCUGAAGCUGGGCAGAGCUCAACAGAGAGAGCAGGCCCCACAUUAGCCUAAUUAUGGACAAUGAGAAGAUAGAAAAGACUGGGACUAGCCAGCACAAUAUUGUCAAUACUCUCCUAUAUAAUAAAACUUAAAAUCUCCAGAAUCUUCUUUUUUUUUUUUUUUUUUUUUUUGAGACUGAGUCUCACUCUGUCACCCAGGCUAGGGUGCAAUGGCCCGAUCUCGGCUCACUGCAACCUCUGCCUCCCAGGUUCAAACGAUUCUCCUGCCUCAGCCUCCUGAGUAGCUGGGAUUACAGGUGCACGCCACCAUGCCUGGCUAAUUUUUGUAUUUUUAAUAGAGACGGGGUUUCACCAUGUUGGCCUGCAUGGUCUUGAACUCCUGACCUCGUGACCCACCCGCCUUGGCCUCCCAAAGUGCUGGGAUUACAAGCAUGAGCCACUGCACCCAGCCAAAAUCUCCAGAAUCUUCUAACACUAAUCCUUUCUACAAAUUGCCAUGGAGAAACUGUAGCAGGCUAGUUAACUACUAAAAUAUGCUUAACACAUUACUGUUAAUUACAGAAUAAAGCCCCAUAGUUCUCAGCCUAAUACUCAAGACUGUGAACUUUCUUUUCUCACUAGAACCAUCCAGUUUUAUUUCCUCACCCAUGAUUCUAUCCCUUCUUCAAGAUCUGUCUCUUCUCCAUGAAGCUCUUUAACAAUUUCAGACAGUAUUGCUCUUGUCUUGUCUCUGAAAAUCUACUGUACUUACAUGAAAAAGAGCACAUAAUUACACACUGUCAAGUAGUGUUUAACUGAUCAAUGAUUUAAGUGUGUAUGCAUGUCUUAAAUAACAUCUAAAUCAGAAACUCCUUGAGGGCAAGGGCAUCUAGUAUUAAGAACACCACAUUAAGAUGAUGAAGCCCAUGCCAGAUUCACCCUGGAUACAAAAGCUGAUGUCAAUGUUUGGUAGACCCAACGUGGGCUAGCCAGUGCCCCUGCAGACCCUCCAGAAUUUGAUGCCUCCCCUGAGGGGCAAGUCCUUCCUUGUUUCUACUCAUGAUCCAGCCUUAUCAUACUUAGAAACAUACCUAAGAAUACUGGCAUCUGACAAAAACACAUCUAGGUGAAGGUUGCCGACUCUGGGAUCUUUGGAAAAGAUUCUGCUUGUUUCAUAUUUUUAAUAAAGGGUCAGAUAGGACUUCAUCCAAACUUGUUUGCCUUUUCUUCCUUGCAUUUGAUUCUGGUUAUUAAUUUGGGGCAGGUUUUUUAGCUUCAUUGAAGCCAAUGUCUGUGACCAAAAGUCUUGCUUGUAUGCCUCUCAUGUACUUCAUUUUUAUGAAUCCCAAAUACCUUUUAUCUACAACCCAUACCUUAGAAGGAGUCCCCAGGCCAAUGAGGAAUGAGAAAAUAAUGAGGAACAGGAACUGUGCACAAAGCUUGCUCUAGGCUCUGUUAUUGGUUCAUUUUGGACCAGUGAACUGGAUCAUACUUAACGAUGCAGUAAGUUUGGACUCCAGUAGAAAUGAUAAUAAAUGACUUUUAAAA